UGGCGAACGGGUGAGUAACACGUGGGUGAUCUGCCCUGCACUCUGGGAUAAGCCUGGGAAACUGGGUCUAAUACCGGAUAGGACCAUGCUUUAGUGUGUGUGGUGGAAAGUUUUUUCGGUGUAGGAUGAGCCCGCGGCCUAUCAGCUUGUUGGUGGGGUAAUGGCCUACCAAGGCGGCGACGGGUAGCCGGACUGAGAGGUUGGUCGGCCACAUUGGGACUGAGAUAGGGCCCAG
rnacentral:rRNA from 1 species